rnacentral:rRNA from 1 species
CCUGGAGGCUGCAGUGGGGGAUAUUGCACAAUGGGGGAAACCCUGAUGCAGCGACGCCGCGUGUGGGAAGACGGUCCUCUGGAUUGUAAACCACUGUCCCCAGGGACGAAGAUGACGGUACCUGGGGCGGAAGCUCCGGCUAACUACGUGCCAGCAGCCGCGGUAAUACGUAGGGUGCGAGCGUUGUCCGUAAUUACUGGGGGUAAAGGGAGCGUAGGCGGGGAUGCAAGUUGGGUGUCAAAACUACCGGCUCAACUGGUAGUCGCACUCAAAACUGCAGCUCUUGAGUGAAGUAGAGGCAGGCAGAAUUCCUAGUGUAGCGGUGAAAUGCGUAGAUAUUAGGAGGAACACCAGUGGCGAAGGCGGCCUGCUGGGCUUUUACUGACGCUGAGGCUCGAAAGUGUGGGGAGCAAACAGGAUUAGAUACCCCAGUAGUC